rnacentral:rRNA from 1 species
UAACAAUGGCUUUAGUGGCGGACUGGUGAGUAACACGUGAGCAACCUGCCUAUCAGAGGGGAAUAACAGUGAGAAAUCAUUGCUAAUACCGCAUAUGCCAUAAAUAUCACAUGAUAAAAGUGGGAAAGGAGUAAUCCGCUGAUAGAUGGGCUCGCGUCUGAUUAGAUAGUUGGUGGGGUAACGGCCUACCAAGUCGACGAUCAGUAGCCGGACUGAGAGGUUGAACGGCCACAUUGGGACUGAGAUACGGCCCAGACUCC